AGCUCUCCGAGUGGUGUGGAUGUUUAUUGGGCCUAAAGCAUCCGUAGCUGGCUAAGUUAGUCCCUUGUUAAAUCCACCGAAUUAAUCGUUGGAUUGCGGGGGAUACUGCUUGGCUAGGGGACGAGAGAGGCAGACGGUAUUUCCGGGGUAGGGGUGAAAUCCUAUAAUCCCGGGAAGACCACCAGUGGCGAAGGCUGUCUGCUAGAAUGCGCCCGACGGUGAGGGAUGAAAGCUGGGGGAGCGAACC
rnacentral:rRNA from 1 species